CAAGUCGAACGGCAGCACGGGAGCAAUCCUGGUGGCGAGUGGCGAACGGGUGAGUAAUAUAUCGGAACGUGCCCAGUCGUGGGGGAUAACUACUCGAAAGAGUGGCUAAUACCGCAUACGAUCUCUGGAUGAAAGCGGGGGACCUUCGGGCCUCGCGCGAUUGGAGCGGCCGAUAUCAGAUUAGGUAGUUGGUAGGGUAAAAGCCUACCAAGCCUACGAUCUGUAGCUGGUCGGAGAGGACGACCAGCCACACUGGAACUGAGACACGGUCCAGACUCCUACGGGAGGCAGCAGUGGGGAAUUUUGGACAAUGGGCGAAAGCCUGAUCCAGCAAUGCCGCGUGCAGGACGAAGGCCUUCGGGUUGUAAACUGCUUUUGUACGGAACGAAAAGGUAGCUCCUAAUACGAGCUGCCGAUGACGGUACCGUAAGAAUAAGCACCGGCUAACUACGUGCCAGCAGCCGCGGUAAUACGUAGGGUGCAAGCGUUAAUCGGAAUUACUGGGCGUAAAGCGUGCGCAGGCGGUUUUGUAAGAUAGAUGUGAAAUCCCCGGGCUCAACCUGGGAACUGCAUAUAUGACUGCAAAGCUAGAGUACGGUAGAGGGGGAUGGAAUUCCGCGUGUAGCAGUGAAAUGCGUAGAUAUGCGGAGGAACACCGAUGGCGAAGGCAAUCCCCUGGACCUGUACUGACGCUCAUGCACGAAAGCGUGGGGAGCAAACAGGAUUAGAUACCCUGGUAGUCCACGCCCUAAACGAUGUCAACUGGUUGUUGGGUCUUUACUGACUCAGUAACGUAGCUACGCGUGAAGUUGACCGCCUGGGGAGUACGGGCCGCAAGGUUGAAACUCAAAGGAAUUGACGG
rnacentral:rRNA from 1 species